GGCCUGCCAGACAGCGAAGGCGGCUGGCAAUCAUUAACUAAUGCUUUCUCCCAGGGAGAAAAAUGCUGGCUUUAAGGAGGCCGGGACGUCAGAAUUGCAAUAGAAGCUCCCUGGUCACAUCAUCACUGAGGGAAGUCAUGUCAGGAACCUGAAGGCAGAAGACGGAGGCCAUUGAGGGAUGCAUCUGACUGGAUUGCUCCCCAUGGCUUGCUCAACCUGCUUUCUUAUAUCGCCCAGACCUACCUGCCUAGGAGUGGCACUGCCCACAGUGGGCUGUGCUCUCCCACUUCAGUUACUAAUCAAGGAAAUUCCCCCAAAGGCUUGCUGAUAGGCCAGUCUGAUGGGGGCAUUUCCUCAACUGAGCAUCCCCUCAUUCCAGAUGACCUGAGCUGUGUCAACUUGAUGUAACAACUAGCCAGUGCACCCGAUCCACCAUAGGAUUCUAAGAUAAUAUUGAAAUAUUGUGGCUUUAAUUGCUGAUACUGGGUGGGCAAAACUGAGGUCAUGAUUUUAUUUUAUUUUAUUUUAUUUUAUUUCAGAUAAGAGUCUCAUGAGAUCCAGGCUGGUCUCUCUGUAACUCCCAGUGUUCUUCCCUCUAUUUCCCAAACUCUGGGGUCAUGGGCACCCAUCCUCGAAUCCUUGUACCUGGCCAUUGUCUCAUCUUAGCUGCCAUUACCGGAUUAUUGAGGGAAUGAAAGAGGAUGAAAGGAAGAUUCUAAUAAAAAGAAACUAUACCAUGGAAAUAUGAUCUAAUAUUUUGUAUUCCUUCAGUGAAUUGAAGCAUAAAAAACAAAAACAAAAAACCUAGAAAGCCAAAGCCUUGCGUGAGGGAAAUAGAGGCCAGAGAGGACCAGGAGUCUUCAGGCCUGGUGGAAAACAGCUCUAAUCCAGCACUCACGAGUCAGAGGCAUGUAGACUUCUGUGAUCUCAAGGCCCUUCUGGUCUGGGUAGCUAAUUCCAGCUCAGCCAGGGCCACACAGUGAGACCCUGUCUUCAAAACAAAAACCAUGACAAACAAAAGCGAAAAUCCUCACCACCACCAACAAAAAGAGGUCCAGGCAUUCAGUGUCAGCCUCAGGUCAGUUUUAGGCUAGCCUGGGCUACCUGAAACCAGGCGUCGACAAAACAAAACAAUCCACCUGUUAACCCCUAAUAACAAGCCGUCUGUGACAAAGGUAGAAGUGGAAGUUUGCCAUUCUGAGGAGCGCUGUGUGUCCAGCCGGGUGUGACUGAGCUCCAUCCACGUGCAGUGCGUGGGUACCUCGUACGUACGUCAGCUUCACAUCCCCCAGUGCAUCACCGUCUUGUGUACAGCUGUUGGCUGUUUCGCUUGGCCUCUGACCUGGACUCCUUAAUGGGGCCGCAAUAAGAACAGGUGCAGUUUUCUUGUUGUGGUCGUUACAGGAGGGUUGAGUGCUGUGACACAGUGCUUAGGUCCCCGGAGUGUGGACAAGUGUCCACGCUUAGUCUGUACCUAACUUCAGUGUCUUCUGCUCUGUCACUGCUGGUCACAGUAAGAGCCCAAAGCACCUCACUGACAGAGGCUUCUUUUUAGUGUUGGUAACCAUCCCCGUUGCAGUCCUGGCUGUACUGAUACUCACUCCGUAGACCAGGCUGGCCUCGAACUCACAGAGCUCUGCCUGCCUCUGCCUCUGCCUCCUGAGUGCUGGGAUUAAAGGCUUGUGAGCUACCACGGCUCAGCAGAGGGUUCUAUCUAUAGUUCUUCACUCAGCCUGCUUGGGCAGAAGAUCCUCACAGAAGAGAGCCAACCAGGAAGCAGGAGAAAAGAGGCAGCGAUCUUAGGUAAUUAAGAAUCCUACCAACAAGGGCUAAGAGGCGGCUCAGUGGUGCAGAGCACUUGCCGCUCUUGCAGAGACCGGGAUUUGAUUCCCAGCACAUGUGUGGUGGCUCAUAAAUACCCAUAAUUCCAGUUCCAGAGGACCUAAUGCCUUCUUUUGACUCCUGUGGGUACCGGGUACAUGGUGCCCAUACAUAUAUUCAAGUAAAGCAUCCGUGUACAUCAAUAAAUAGACUAAAAACAAAAUCUCAUCAAUGAUGAGUUGAUAGCAGUGGACGGUCAUAUGAACCUGAGGCUGGGUCUGUGCACACGCCUCUGGGUGACCAUGCAGUGCGCAGGUCUGAAGUUCGGAUUUGAGUAGCUUCAUGGCAGAUGUCCCUAGGCACUCAAUUCGUAUCUUAGGGUUAUUCUCGAGGGCUGGGGGGUGGGAUGGGGGCUGGAGCUUGAUGAGAGAGUCGUGGCCUAGUUUGUGCAAAGCACUGCAUUUGUUCCUGAGGCACAUCCUCCCAAAAUCUGGGGUUCAAACAACUUAAAGGUACUUUGCGGUAAGCUCGCCUGGACAUCAUAUAUGGGAUAAUUGUCCGUUAUAAAUUUCAAACAGUAAAAAAAAGUCUCUUCCGGGAUUGCAGGACUCGAUCCCGGGAAGAUUCUGCCCUCCAGAAUGACACUGGAAGAUAAAGAAUGAGGGAGCUGAUGGCUUCCGCUCCAGAAUUCUGCCCAGCACCGACUUAGCCCCAAUGCCCACCCUCUGCUUCUCAGGAUGACCCUGGGAGCGCCUGAGUUUUGCUUGCUCAGUGAGGAGACCCCUGGGUUUCAGAGUGGCUCCUGCUGGCACACUGGGGAAGCCUUUUAAAGCUGGAAUUAAAACCAAAACAAACCAAACCAAAAUAAAACAGAAAGUAAAACAAACUACACGUCUGAUCCAUGGCGCUGGUGCCUGGCUAGGGCAAGCGUACAUGCGUGUGGGGGCGGGGCGGGGUGGGGUGAGGGAGGGUAGGGAGGAAUCAGAGGAGGUCAGACCUUUAGUUUCUCUGUACAAGAGUGUGCAAUGAUUCUUGUUUUAGUUUAACCGAGUGUGGCUCACUGUUUGCAAGUCAGGGAACGGGGCCCCAGGCUCUGCGCCCAGAUUAAAAGCUCCUGCUCUGAAAUGCAAAGGUCUCUCUGGGUUUUAUUUCCUUGCGCUCCGACCUUAUCAACAACACACUCCAUUCUCCCAGGCCUCCCCAGAGAUGGCCUCUUCAAUAUGCUACUGGCCUUCGCCCUGGUGUCUUGCCCACCACCAGAAAGACUCAUUCUGUUAAAUCACUCACUCAGCUUGUCGGGACAGCAUUUUAGACUGUGAGCCCAGACACUCUGUAAAUGCACUAAUUAGCUCAGUGGAAAGAGCCUAAGAGCAGGCAGCAACAUCUCCUUCCCAGAGGGAAGCUCACCAGACUCCGCCUCAGCUCCGACUCUCCGAGGUUCCAGCUCAGGGAAGGGAUGGUCAAGCGGUGGGCACUGAUUCCCCAGACGGGGGCUUUUUAGCCCCAACAUCACUGAUGUCUGGGGUCUGAGUGCGUGGGCAAAAGGAGCUGUCUGAGCCCCGUAGGCUAUUUUUUGUAGCCUCCCUACUUUCCUCCCCAGAGCUGUGAUAAGCAAAAAUGUCCGUGGGGCUGGGUGGCGUGCUUACCUAGCAUGUGAGUGGUGACAUUUGAAUCCCGGCCUGCCUUCGAAUCAGCUGUGUGACCUUGGAGAAGUUACUUUGCCUAUCUGUUCCCUGGUCUUCUUACUUGUAAUGUGGGAUAAUAGCAUGGAUACUGAUCUUCUGUAAUAGAAGUGUCGAAAACGAGGCAACAAGAAAUAAACUACAGGGCUGGAGAGAUGGCUCAGUGGUUAAGAGCACUGACUGCCUUUCCAGAUGUCCUGAGUUCAAAUCCCAGCAACCACAUGGUGGCUCACAUGGUGGUGGGAUCUGGUUCCCUCUUCUGGUGUGUCUGAAGAUAGUGACAGUGUAUUCACAUACAUAAAAUAAAUAAGAUUUUUUAAAAAAAGAAGCGACAUAUUAAAUGAGGUCUGGUCAACUCAUUUUCAAAACUGUUGGGCAGAUCAUAUAUUUUAUAAAAUAGAAAACAAUAGUUCUGACCAAACUCUCC
rnacentral:lncRNA from 1 species